rnacentral:rRNA from 1 species
CAUGGAGUUUGAUCCUGGCUCAGGAUGAACGCUAGCGGCAGGCUUAACACAUGCAAGUCGAGGGGUAUAGUUCUUCGGAGCUAGAGACCGGCGCACGGGUGCGUAACGCGUAUGCAAUCUACCUUAUACAGGGGAAUAGCCCAGAGAAAUUUGGAUUAAUACCUCAUAGUAUGUGAGAAUCGCAUGGUUUUCACAUUAAAGUCACAACGGUAAAAGAUGAGCAUGCGUCCCAUUAGCUU